rnacentral:tRNA from 1 species
GGAAUGUGGCUCAGUGGUAGAGUGUUUGCCUGGCAAGCAUGAAGCUCCGGGGGUUCCAUUCCCCAUUACCA